CUGAGUCGUCGAAACGAGUUGUUGCUGGCCCUCCAAACGGGGGGCAUGUGCACGCUCUGUUCACACAUCCACUCACACCUGUGCACCCCUCUGUAGUUCUAUGGUCUGGAGGGCGCUUGCCGUCUUCCUCCUGUAGUUCUACGUCUUUACACACACACCGUAGUGAAGUCUUAUGGAACGUGCGCGGCGUUUAACGCAAUACAAUA
rnacentral:misc_RNA from 1 species